UACGUAGGGUGCAAGCGUUAAUCGGAAUUACUGGGCGUAAAGCGUGCGCAGGCGGUUGUGCAAGACCGAUGUGAAAUCCCCGGGCUUAACCUGGGAAUGGCAUUGGUGACUGCACGGCUAGAGUGUGUCAGAGGGGGGUAGAAUUCCACGUGUAGCAGUGAAAUGCGUAGAGAUGUGGAGGAACACCGAUGGCGAAGGCAGCCCCCUGGGCUAACACUGACGCUCAGGCACGAAAGCGUGGGGAGCAAACAGG
rnacentral:rRNA from 1 species